rnacentral:rRNA from 1 species
CCUACGGGUGGCAGCAGUGGGGAAUAUUGCACAAUGGGGGAAACCCUGAUGCAGCGACGCCGCGUGAGUGAAGGAGUAUUGCGGUAUGUAAAGCUCUGUCAGCAGGGAAGAAAAUGACGGUACCGGACCAAGAAGCCCCGGCUAACUACGUGCCAGCAGCCGCGGUAAUACGUAGGGGGCAAGCGUUAUCCGGCUUUACUGGGUGUAAAGGGAGCGUAGACGGCAGGGCAAGUCUGGAGUGAAAGGCGGGGGCUCAACCCCCGGACUGCUCUGGAAACUGCCAGGCUGGAGUGCAGGAGAGGUAAGUGGAAUUCCUAGUGUAGCGGUGAAAUGCGUAGAUAUUAGGAGGAACACCAGUGGCGAAGGCGGCUUACUGGACUGUAACUGACGUUGAGGCUCGAAAGCGUGGGGAGCAAACAGGAUUAGAUACCCGGGUAGUC